UACGUAGGGGGGCGAGCGUUUGUCCGGAAUUAUUGGGCGUAAAGAGCGUGUAGGCGGUUCGGUAAGUCUGCCGUGAAAACCUGGGGCUCAACCCCGGGCGUGCGGUGGAUACUGCCGGGCUAGAGGGUGGUAGAGGCGAGUGGAAUUCCCGGUGUAGCGGUGAAAUGCGCAGAUAUCGGGAGGAACACCUAUGGCGAAGGCAGCUCGCUGGGACGUUUACUGACGCUGAGACGCGAAAGCGUGGGGGAGCAAACAGG
rnacentral:rRNA from 1 species